ensembl:lncRNA
UUGAGAUUUGCUAUAAGUACAUCCUGCUUAACGUGAGUGUACUGUAUGUAUCUGAUUUUUUUUUUUUAUCAAUAUAAGUAUUGAAUGAUACCAGAUAGCACACCUGCUGUUCUGAUGUGUUUUGAACACAAAACUGGAAAGUACUGAAUUCAGUUAAUCCAUUCUAUUUCUUUUGUCCAAAUUCAGCAAGUUAAAAGCUUCUUUCUAUCCCUUCUUCUCAGUUCCCACCUGUUUUUUCCUAUAGGCAGAAGAUGAUUUGGUGUCUGAGGUAACUUGGGUUUGAUGAGCAGUGUCUCUCUGCCUCUGUUGUUGUAUUUGUGAUUUGCAUUUUUUCCCCUCAUUUGGCCACUGAUUUUCCUCCUUCAUUCUUCCUUCUAACCUCCUUUUUGACUUCUGUCCUCUAGCUGCCUCCCGCCAGCCGCUUUCUUCACUCUCCAUCUGUUUCUUCAGCUGCACGUGUCUCUUGUGUUGUUCUCUUCAGCUUUAGCUCUCACAUUCCUCUCAUCACAUUCAGUCUGUUCUCCUCUCUAGGACGAAGAAGAACUCCGAGAGCUUGAGGAAGACUAGUGCUCUGAAGCUGAGGAUUUUGGACCUGGAUUUUCCCACACAGCUUGAAGUGACACCCCACUUGCCCUGGAGCCAUCAAAAAAUCGCCCACAAAAACCUUCACCGCAGCUUUGCCCAAGCCAAAUGUGACACCACUGCACUGGAGAAUAUGCACUCAGGACCCCAACUUCAAGCCCCCAUGAAAACUGUGCCUUUUUGAGGUUGCAAAAUGCCUUUUUAUGCUAGAGUUGCUUCAUCUUAAGUGGCAAGUUUCAAGUGAAUUUAAAGGGAUGUGUUUUUGUUACUGUACAUAUAGAAACUAGCUUAUUGUACUACUUUUAAAACGAAUAUUUUGUGACUUUGUUCUAUAGAAUCCCAAAUAGUUGUGCCAAACCACUCAAAUGUGCCAAACUAAUACUUACAAAUACUUCUCUGUGUGUCUUAUAUUGUACAGUACAGUACACUACCAGUCAUAUUUUGGACACACUUUGCCACAGUGCUAAAUGCUAAAAAUAGACUGAACUCAUAGGAAAUUAAUAGUUAUAAACUUUCAAAUGUUUGGAGGAAAAUCCCAUAUGUUGUGUUGUGAAAGACUGUGUGUUCGAUCAAAUUCAUCAAGCUAAGCUAGCCAUAAGCUAUCUGUUGUAGAUGCUAACAUGAGCAGGUACUUGAUAUCCCCUUCUUAUUGAAAACUAUGAACAAACAAGGUUUACUGUGUAUGAACACUGACCACAGUUUGUUUUUGCUAAUACCAUGAAACUUGACAAAAUUUGACAGAAUUCAAUUUAAAAAGCCAAUAUUAUCCAUCAUAUUUGUAACAAUUAUUUAGCAUAUUGUUGAGCCUAUACAGCUCAUGGUAAUUUUAAUAAUAUGAAAUGUCUGAUUGUCUUACAGAAUGAUUGGUAAUUGCCUAAACAGGUUUAGCUAAUUGCAUAUGAAAUGAGGAAAGUUUUUUGUUUACUUUUAAUACAAUAAAUUAGUGCUGUUAAACGAUUAAUCGCAAUUAAUCGCAUCCCAAAUAUUUAUAUUUAAUAUCUAAACAUAUU